AAUUGAAUUUAUUAAUAAUUUAUUUUUUAUUUAAUUUUUUAUAAAAGUAAUUUAUUUAUUUAAGGUUUUAGUAUUAAUUAAAAAUUAAUUUAUAGAUUUAUAGUUUAAUAGUAUUGUGAAAGAAUUAAUUAAUUUUAUAAAAGAAUUUUUUUUAGUACCUUUUGUAUCAGGGUUGAUUAAAAUUUUUAAUUUUUUUUUAAUUUCUCAAAUUUAUAGAGUUAAUUUUAUUAUUAAUUUAUUGUGUUAUAAAUAUUUAUAAAAUAAUAUUAGUUUUGAAAUUUAAUUCGUUAUAUUAUAUUUAGUUAUUUAAGAUUUAAAUUUAAUUUAAAAUUUUAAAAGUUAUAUUGAUUUUGUUGAUUUAUAUUUUAAAUUUAAAUUAUUUUAAGGAUAAGCUUGAAAUUUUAAUAUAAUAAUUUAUUUAUGUUAAUAAUUUAUAGGAAUAGAAAUUUUUAUUUUAAGUUUGUAAAAAUUUAUUAUUUAUUUAGUUUUAAUUUAUUAUAAUUUUAUUUAUUUUUUUUAUUAAAUUUUAUUAAUUAAUAUUUUAUUAAUAGUAAUAAUGAUUAAAUUAGUAUAAUUAAUAUUUAUAAAUUAUGAAUUCGGCAAAAAUUAUUUUCAUCUGUUUAACAAAAACAUUGUAUUAAGUUUAAUUUAAUAUAGGAUCUGCUCAAUGAUUUAUUAAAUAGCUGCAGUAUUUUGACUGUGCAAAGGUAGCAUAAUAAUUAGUCUUUUAAUUGGGGACUUGUAUGAAAGAUUUGAUGAGAAAUAAACUUUAUUAUUUAUAUAAUUAAAAUUUUAUUUUUAAGUAAAAAAGCUUAAAUUUUUUAAAGGGACGAUAAGACCCUAUAAAACUUUAUAAAUGAUAUAAUUGAUUUUUUUGGAUUUAUAAAUAUUUUAUUUUUAUUUUUUAUUUUAUUGGGGUGAUAAAAAAAAUUAAUUAACUUUUUUUAAAUUUUAACAUUAUUUAAUGAUUAUUUGAAUUAAAAUUUUUAAUUAAAGGAAAAAGUUACUUUAGGGAUAACAGCGUAAUUAGUUUUUUAAGUUCAAAUUUAAAAAUUAGUUUGCGACCUCGAUGUUGAAUUAAGAUUAAUCUUAGGUGCAAAAUUUUAAGUAUUAGGUCUGUUCGACCUUUAAAUUCUUACAUGAUUUGAGUUCAAACCGGUGUAAGCCAGGUUGGUUUCUAUCUUUUAAAAAAUAAAUUGUUUUAGUACGAAAGGAUUAAAUAAUUGAAUUAAAUUUUAUUAAAUGAAUUAAAUUAAUUUU
rnacentral:rRNA from 1 species